UCCGUAGGUGAACCUGCGGAAGGAUCAUUAUCGAGUUUUGACUGGGUUGUAGCUGGCCUUCCGAGGCAUCGUGCACGCCCUGCUCAUCCACUCUACACCUGUGCACUUACUGUGGGUUAUAGAUCGUGUGGAGCGAGCUCGUUCGUUUGACGAGUUUGCGAAGCGCGUCUGCGCCUGCGUUUUAUCACAAACACUAUAAAGUAUUAGAAUGUGUAUUGCGAUGUAACGCAUCUAUAUACAACUUUCAGCAACGGAUCUCUUGGCUCUCGCAUCGAUGAAGAACGCAGCGAAAUGCGAUAAGUAAUGUGAAUUGCAGAAUUCAGUGAAUCAUCGAAUCUUUGAACGCACCUUGCGCUCCUUGGUAUUCCGAGGAGCAUGCCUGUUUGAGUGUCAUGAAAUCUUCAACCUACAAUCUCUUUGCGGUUUUUGUAGGCUUGGACUUGGAGGCUUGUCGGUCUUUUAUUGAUCGGCUCCUCUCAAAUGCAUUAGCUUGGUUCCUUUGCGAAUCGGCUGUCGGUGUGAUAAUGUCUACGCCGCGACCGUGACGCGUUUGGCGGGCUUCUAACCGUCCCGUUAUUGGGACAACUCUUUAUGACCUCUGACCUCAAAUCAGGUAGGACUACCCGCUGAACUUAAGCAUAUCAAUAAGCGGAGGA
rnacentral:rRNA from 1 species